AUUGAACGCUGGCGGCAUGCCUUACACAUGCAAGUCGAACGGUAACAGGUUAAGCUGACGAGUGGCGAACGGGGGAGUAAUGUAUCGGAACGUGCACAGUCGUGGGGGAUAACUGAUCGAACGAGCAGCUAAUACCGCAUACGACCCGAGGGUGAAAGCGGGGGAUCGCAAGACCUAGCGCGAUUGGAGCGGCCGAUAUCAGUUUAGGUAGUUGGUGAGGUAAAGGCUCACCAAGCCGACGAUCUGUAGCUGGGCUGAGAGGACGACCAGCCACAUUGGGACUGAGACACGGCCCAGACUCCUACGGGAGGCGGCAGUGGGGAAUUUUGGACAAUGGGCGCAAGCCUGAUCCAGCCAUGCCGCGUGCGGGAAGAAGGCCUUCGGGUUGUAAACCGCUUUUGUCAGGGAAGAAAAGGUUCUGGCUAAUACCUGAGACUCAUGACGGUACCUGAAGAAUAAGCACCGGCUAACUACGUGCCAGCAGCCGCGGUAACAC
rnacentral:rRNA from 1 species